rnacentral:rRNA from 1 species
GCAGCAGCCGCGGGAAUACGAAGGGGGCUAGCGUUGCUCGGAAUGACUGGGCGUAAAGGGCGCGUAGGCGGUAUAGCAAGUUAGAUGUGAAAUUCCUGGGCUCAACCUGGGGACUGCAUUUGAUACUGCUAAACUAGAGUUCGGAAGAGGGUAGUGGAAUUUCCAGUGUAGAGGUGAAAUUCGUAGAUAUUGGAAAGAACACCGGUGGCGAAGGCGGCUACCUGGUCCGACACUGACGCUGAGGCGCGAAAGCGUGGGGAGCAAACAGGAUUAGAUACCCCCGUAGUCCCUGUCUCUUAUAC